UGUGGGAGCGAGCUUGCUCGCGAUAGCGUCAGUUCAGUCAGCCUUGAUGCGACUGAUACGCCGCUAUCGCGAGCAAGCUCGCUCCCACA
rnacentral:misc_RNA from 1 species